rnacentral:lncRNA from 1 species
AUAUCUGAGUCUGUUUUCUAAAACAAAGCAACUUUUGACCGACCUUUCAGCUGGGGUUAUUAAAGGAGAAAGAAGAGGGAAAACAUAUUGACAGACUCCCAGAGCAGCUGUCCAGGGAAGGAAAGACCUGCAUAAUUACCACUUGUACUUCCUCGGCGAACAUGAGCUCAAGUCUGAAGCAAGGAGUUGGGUCAAUAAAACAUCAAGGUCUGAAAACUACAGGAAAAGACCUGUCCAGCUCGUAUGAUAAGGAACUUGUUCCUAGCUACAAAAACCAGAAUAUUCUGGUGGAAGCCUCUUCAUCAGACCUUUGCAUUAUGCAGAAGUGCCAUAUGCAGUCUUUGAAAGCUUUUUUGAAGGAAUCCGUGAUUCUUCAGCCGCUUUGCCAUCUUCUCCAGAGGUGUGCUGAGGAUUUCACACAACACAGCAGGAGGCACGUAAGGUAAGAAUGUCUGAAGUUAAACAUGUUUCAGGUGUGGAUUAUCCUAAUGGGACGGGUCCUGUGCUGCGCAACACUGUGUGACGAUGCUCUCCUUCCAAUGCCUGCUGUGUUACUAUUUGAAGAUAAUCAGCAUCUUGGAGAAUGGAGGCUGAACUACAGAAAACCUUGUGACAUUUUCCUAACAAAUUUAGGUUGCCAUCAUGAGUGUCCCAGAGAAUUGGGCAAAUCAGGCAUUUUAAAAUAGGUUCUUUAGAAGUGAUGGUGCUUAAGAGCUCACUUUCCUAUUCAGUUUGGCUCAGUAAUUGUUUUUCCCCCUCACUUUUAAAUUCUGCAUACAAACGGUGAGAUGUUUGGCCCUGCAUGUUUUUUAAACUCUAGGUGAUGAGUGAAAAAUUGGAAAGAAAAGGCAUUUUUUGAAGGUGAUCUGUUGGACCUUUACACCACAGCCACUUCUGAGAAGCCUUUUGAUUACUCAGUGACAAAGACAGUAAACUGUACCCUGAAAAUAAAGCAGAUGAGAUGUUUGAAUUGAGUAAUUCAUAGGAAAAGAAUGGUGCCCGGGUGAGUAAUAGCCUAGUACUUUCAUGAAGGUCAAGCACCAUGGGAAUGGGACAACUUUAUAAAAUCAGAUGGUUGCAUUUUGCAAUUUUGUUUCCUAUUUGCAUAUACAAAGCGUUUGAAAGCUGCUUCCUUAAGCCAUGUUAUAAACAAACCGGCAUUGAAGAGAUGGUGGUUUUGAUGUUAUGCACAUCCCCCUUGUACUACAGGAAUUAAGAUGAAAAGGACGCUUCCCUCUAGUGCCGCAUUGAAGUACAGUUUUGUAAUUUUGCUACGCAGACAAGUUUACCAAUUCUUAACAAUAUACUGGACAUCCACAUAAAAUGAAUAACAGAUUUUUAGGAAGAGCUCUUUAACAAGUAUUUUAAAAAUCUGAUUUCACUUUGAGUUAGCUUUCAAAAUCCAGUCCAGAUAUAUGUAAAGAAUAUAAAAUGUAAAUAUAUUUUCUAAAGUAGUACAGCAUGUGAAAUUUAUGAAUUGUUACAUGCUUUGCUAAUACAGCCGAGUGAAGCUUAGCCUCAGAUCAGAUAGAAUCUUUUAGAUAAAUCAUUUAUGACUAGAUGACUUCUUAUCCAAAAGUCAAAUAUGUGAUCAUUUACAGAGGUCAAUGGUUAUAUUCUGCUCUGUGUUCCAUAAUCAGCUGAAAUAAACCCCAGGAGUCCCUCCUGAUUGUAUAGUCACAGGGUCACAGUAUAAUAAAAUGCUGCUCAAGUUGUAUUUCAGACAAGGAAUGCUCUCCCCACAACUAUUCUAGUCUCGGGGACAGGACUGUCAACAUCCAAUUCACUACAAAUGGCAAGUAUUAAGUCCAAUAUAUUGAAGAGAACCACUCUAUAUACUUAGUGGUAAAAAGCCCUGCUGCAUCACACCUUUAACUAUUUAAGUGACUUUUAAAAUAUAUAUUCUACACUCCUUUUUUUCCUACUUAGGGAAUCCUGUUGGGAUUUGUAACUAAAGCACAUUUUUUGAGAAAGGGGAGAGGUACUGAAAAACUUGGGAAUAUUUUUCUAAGGAACACAAAUUGGUGUUGUGGGAUAGGGAAGAAAUGCUACUAGUUUCCAUGGAAAUAAAUUGAGCAUAUUUCUAUGAAAUCCUCAUGGUAUCCUACUCAUGAUAAUACAAAGCUCACACUGGUAUUGUCAAAAAAAAAAAAAAAGUCACAGGAUGAUGGAAAUGCAUGGAAAUGCACUUCUGCUUGAAAAGUAGAUGAAGUAUUAGCCUCUGGCAUUUCUGUCAUUCCAUGGAAACACAUGUGGCUAGUCAGGAAAGCACAAUAAAUGUUCUGCAUAAAGCCCUGCAGAAAUGAAUGAGAUUCUGUUUUCCUACGGAGUUCACUUCAAGCCGCAGGUCAGUACCUCCACCUCUGCACUGGGUAAGCUACUCAGUGAUUCAGAUGUUCUAGAAGGAAGUGGUUUAUGAAGAUAUUAGCAUCACAGCUGCUUAAAUAAAGAAAAGUUGCUAAACUGGCAACCCGUAAUAAAGACAAUUAGAUAAACUGAAGUGUGAUGAGUACUACUGUGCAAUUAAGUGGCUACUUCUGCAGCCAUUCCUUUGCUUGUCUGCUUUGUUAAAAGUGAUAUCAUAGAGUCACCACUGUGCUUUGAAUUAUAGGUUAUUCCAGCCUGGUUAGAUGGAAGAAAUGCUGUGACCAGGAAAGAUGCCAGCGAGUCAGGGCUGGGCAAUUACUACAGCUGUUCAAAGAAGCACACUGGGCAGUAAUGAAUACCUGUCAUGCUUUCCCAGAAGCAAAAAUACAGCUAUUUGACAAAAAGGCUGACAGUGUUCUGUAAUAUUAUAAAGAACAGAAGACCAUCUCCAAUAGCACAAUAAACUGCUUGGAUGC